rnacentral:rRNA from 1 species
GAUGAACGCUGGCGGCGUGCCUAAUACAUGCAAGUCGAACGGAGUGGGGACGGGUGAGUAACACGUGGCUAAUCUCCUAUAAGACUGGGAUAACUUUGGGAAACCGGAGCUAAACCGGAUACUGAUAGAUGGAUACGAGCUGCAUUAGCUAGUGGGUACGGUAACGGCUUACCAAGGGAACGAUGCAUAGCCGACCUGAGAGGGUGAUCGGCAACACUGGAGCUGAGACGCGCUCCAGACUCCUACGUGAGGCAGCAGUAGGGCAUCGUCCGCAAUUGGCGGAAGCCUGACGGAGCCACGCCGAGUGAGAGAGAAAGAUCCUCGGAGCGUAAAACUCGGUUAUUUGUGAAGCGGUACCUAAUCAGAAAGCCCCGGCUAACUACGUGCCAACCGCCGCGGUAAUAC